AUUUUCUUCAUGAAUUUAAGAUUUUCUCCGAUCAAUUUUCUGGUAUUUGAGAUGUUAUAGAUAAGGAUCUAUAAUUCUGUAACUGUUUGAUCAAAUUUUUUGAAACUUUGCACAAUAACUACUGAGAUGUAUAUCUUUAUUUUAAAAGUGCAGUUUUAAGUCUGGGAAAAAAAAUAAAGUCUGACAGGAAUAGGAUCCCAGUUAGGGCAACCAGUCCGGUACCCACGAAUGUAGUUCUUAAAAAAAAUAUAUAACUUUUGUUAUAAAUUGUGUAGUGUUAUUAUUUCACUAGUUCUGUAACUGAAUGUAGUUUUAUUUGAAAGGGUAGGCUUUCUAGUUUGAAUUUCUGUAAAAAUUUUGAUUGAUUUAAAUGUAAUCUGGCGUCAGUACAUAGAGUAAAUUGCCUAAAUUCUAGCCUUUAUUCUUUCCCGGAAGUAGACAGACUGACCCUGUUGUCAAUAAAAACAAAAUUUUGCAACGGAAUGCCGGUCAUGAGGCACUGAGAUUGCACUUAGACACUUCUAAAUGAAUGCCUAACAUGAACCAGAAGUCCCAAGGUGGCUAUCAAAAUUAUUUAUUGAACAGGACCCUAUGUAUUUACUAUGAUUUUCAAUGCGUUCCAAUGGGGCAAAUAAUUGGGUCCCCGUUCCAUAUAGUAGUUUGACAAACACCAAUUCUGAUCAUUGAGAAGCUUAAUAUUCCUUUCACAACACAAUGUAAUUAAAACAUUUAGCUGACUUUACUGAGUUAUCUCCCUGUAGUGUUAGGUACCACCUUAAGAGCCAGAAUCUUAUGCCUGAUAAAUUAAUGUAUUAGAGAUGUUGGAAAGAUCAUUUUGAAAAUCAAAUAAAAUGUUCUAUUUUUACUUUUUGUAACUUUAUCCUGUAGCUAAUGGUCACACUUUUUGCUUUGAUAAAAACAUCACCCUAAAUUCUAAAUAUACAAAAUAUAACAAACUGCAGAAAAAGUACCCUUUAUAGAAUGAGUGAUAAUAAGAUCCAUUAUUAUUCACAAAUUGUACAUAUGAUUCUGGUUUUGUGACCUAAGUGUGCCCAGAGGUGGAUUUAUGGAGCUUCAUAUAUGGUUACUAUGCCUAAUCUUUUAACUAGUCCAACUCAAAACAUUGCCUUUUGGUGGCAUUUGUGUUUAUAAUAACUUUCACAAUGAACUUUCAAGAUCCAACUACUCAAAAUUCAUUACUUAGAAAGUGGAAGUACAAUAGGUAUAUGGUUAAACUGGGGAAUUGGUGUAAAUCAAUAAAACCAAGCACAGAUUUUGCUCAAAUUGUGUCAUCUAAAAAUUUUAAGCCAAAAUAAACCUAAGCAGCAUCCUGAGCAAUAAUCAAGUAGAAUUGCAUCUCAAUAGUAAUCUAUACAUGUCAAUUGAACUCUCCAUAAACCAAAAAUUGGUAUGGUCUGAGGAAGAGGUAAAAUACAAUUUUUGACUAAAUAAGAAUUGGUAUACAUCGUUGGAUACCAAUUUUUGUAGAUACAUGUGAUCAAAAAAUUCAAAUGUUCAACGAAGAACAAAUUUUCAAUAAGUUUUGAAUGCAAAGAUUGGCAAAACCAUGUAAUCAAAUAUCCAUGAAAAUGCAAGUUUUCCUCUAUCAACAAAUAUUGAUUCAAAAAAAUAUAAAUGAAUCUGCAGUAGGCGUUUGUCCACUCCUGUACAAAUUGACAAAAUGAUGUAAAACCAUGGUUUGUUUAUAAUACAAUGACAUAUUUAUUUCCAACUAAUCAAUUCCCAAACAGUUGGAUAUAUUUUAGUUGUCUAAGGAAUCUUUGUACACUAAUAAUUCAACUUCACAGAAAUAAAAUAUCACAAAACAGGAAUGUGUCCCCAGUACAUGGAUGCCCCACUCACACUAUCAUUUUCUAUGUUCAGUGGACCGUGAAAUUGGGGUCAGAACUCUAAUUUGACAUUAAAAAUUAGAAAGAUCAUAUCAUAAGGAACAUAUAUACUAAGUUUCAGGUUGAUUGGACUUCAACUUCAUCAAAAACUACCUCGACCAAAACAUUAACCUGAAACUGGAUAGAUGAACGAACAAACGGACCAACGGACCCACAGACCAGAAAACAUAAUGCCCCUCUACUGUUGUAGGUGAGGCAUAAAAACAACAGAUCACAGAAUCAAUCUAACAACAUGGCAUUUUUCCUUAGAGGGUGGUCAAUCAUUUUGGAGCUUGACAAGGUUAUCAUAUAAUAAUGGUUAAAAGUUGGAUUUCCAUGUAAUGAUUAAUGGGGAGAUAACCCUAGGUUAAGGGAGAUAACUCUCUAAAAUCAUUUUUUUUUUCAAUAUGUUUGUGUUAACCAUUUUUGUAGAUUAAAUGCAUUCUUAGCUUUUAUAUUGUAGAUCACUCAAAUGCUUUUUAAAAGCAAUUAUGAAACAGAUCAUUAAAGAUCCUUAGAUGUAUCUCUCUCCCUUGAACUGUGUCUACCCCCUCCCCUUUUUAAAAGAACAAACAACUUUUAAUCAAUAAUAAUAGCAGUCAUUAAAAAAUUGAAAAACUGGAUUAACAAAUAACCAUAGUGUAGAAGAUAACAAUUGAAAUACACCAUACUGUGUGUACAUCUUUUACAAUUUAUAUAUUUACCAACUAUCAUUAAUAUAUUGCCAAUGGUAAGUUUAUACAAAAUUUAAUUUUAUCAUAAUCUUAUUGAAAGCGUCUGGUUCUAAAAUCAGUAAUUCUC
rnacentral:lncRNA from 1 species